rnacentral:misc_RNA from 1 species
AAAGUCGUAACAAGGUCUCCGUAGGUGAACCUGCGGAGGGAUCAUUAUAGGAAGAUAAACUUCAACAAGUUGUGUGGGGGGGUGGGGUGGCGGGGGAGAGUGCAUACUCUGCACUUUUUCCUCUCAUUCUCUCUCUCUCUGCAACUUCAAACAAACGAUCGCAACUACAAUUUAUGUAUUGGCUUGGGGGGAAUAUAUAACAAGUGUUUGCCUGAUAUUUCACAAGGCCGUUUUAUUAUGGUCGAGGGGAAAAUAAUAUAAACAAAACUUUCAACAACGGAUCUCUUGGCUCUC